AGAUUAGUGUUGCAUACGAGUACAACUCUAUUACUGGUCGCACUGCAUCGCACUGGUAAUUCCGUUUUUACCGGACAACAGGGCAACUAAACACAAUCGCCGCCAAUUGUAUAAACGGUUCGUUGCGUCGCAUUUUCGGGAGUGCCGCUCGAAAUCGUUGAAUUUUCGAAUAUGACAAUUAAAAUCGUCACAUUUUCGGGAGUGCCGUUCGAAGUUGUCGUAUUAUCCGGAAGCGGAUCGCGCGAUUUUAAUAAUUAGCAUAUAACUGCGUCAAUUUCCACGUUCUCAGACGUGACGGCUGUCUCGUGCGUGGUCCUGUGCGGAAAGGUGCCAGGAUUGCAUAACAAGAACUGCCCAGAUAAUUGACUUCACUGUGCGUGGAAGGGUGCUACCAUGACGUGUCGGUGGCGAGGGGAGAUGAUCCUCAUUGUAGAAAACUUUCUACUUUUCGAGGAUCUCUCUUCUCUCUGUCGAACACUAUUCAACUGGCCACGCGGGGUUAAGUCCUUAAUCGGGCAAAUCGAGUCAGUUGUCCGGCUCUGAACGCGUCGAGAUAACGCGGCUAUCGCGGAAAUAAUAUAAUCGGGCGUUAAUUCGCGUUUCGGGAUCGUCGCGUAAAAUAUCGGUUUUUAAUAAUUAGCAUAUAACUGCGUCAAUUUCCACGUUCUUAGACGUGACGGCUGUCUCGUGCGUGGUCCUGUGCGGCAAGGUGCCAGGAUUGCAUAACAAGAACUGCCCAGAUAAUUGACUUCACUGUGCGUGGAAGGGUGCUACCAUGACGUGUCGGUGGCGAGGAGAGAUGAUCCUCAUUGUAGAAAGCUCGCUUUCUACUUUUCGAGGAUCUCUCUUCUCUCUGUCGAACACUAUUCAACUGGCCACGCGGGGAAAAGUCCUUAAUCGGGCAAAUCGAGUCAGUUGUCCGGUUCUGAACGCGUCGAGAUAACGCGGUUAUCGCGGGCGAUUUUUCCACGAACAAACUCGGUCGUUUACGUAACGUUUUCAGAAGUGAGGUAUUAAAUAUCGCGCGAUUAUUGUUAUCCGCGUGGUGCCGGUGAAGUUGUGUCGGACAUCGAGGGAGCUGACAACCCGAGAGGACAGCCUGAGAGGAGGAGGAGGUCUAGAAGAGACGUCAGGCGCCAGCAAAACAACAUUGUGAAAAUAACGACGCGAAAAGUGUCGCAUCGAGGGAGCUGACAACUCGAGAGGACAGCCUGAGAGGAGGAGGAGGCUUGGGAGAGAGAGGCAUCGGGCGUCAGCGGAACAACUUUGCGAAUCAACGUAGCUACGUGGCAGAUAUAAUUCCGCUGUUGCGCAUCGGUGUCCAACGGGAAAAAAGGACGGUAACGAGGUGAAGGCAACCGACUGGUGAAACACCCGAUUCACAAAGAGAUUCACCGAGAAAACAGGGCAGCGGCUUUUGCGUCUCGCUGCGAAAAUAAGCAUCCGAGGCCCUCGCCAGGAAAACGUGGGAAGUUAGUGGCGAGUUCAAUAUAUAGUUAGUAAGACAUAACAUUUUUGU